UGAUCGACAAUUUUAGAAUUCGAUUUAGAUCGAUAAGAUAUUACGCAUAUGUACACGAAAGUAUGAAAUAAUACUUUUGACCCACCGCUAGAUGUCGCAUCUCUCUCGCAAGAAAAAGUUAUUGCAGACAAGUUAUGUACCGAGUAGAAUUUGGGUUUGCAUUCGAAGACUGAUCUCACCCUUUGGAUACGAGCUAGUCGAAUAUAGAAAAGGCAUGGAUUCAAAUGGCCGGAGCUCCAAGUCAACUAGCCAUUGCAGUAAAGUGAAUUGGGGACUUGUUGUAUGAAAAGCUACUGAGACAGCACAAAACUUAAGGUUGGCUGAAGGAUGUCUUAUACGCCAUUUUCUAAAUCCUAAAAGAUAUUUUCACGCCUGAAAAAUGUCCUUGGAGCCUUACCGAAAAAAAUACAAAUUUUUGUGAAAAUCUGCAAGCCUUUAUAAAAAUCCUUUUCACCAGGGCAGUGCAGCAGCCGUGGAUCAGUUCGAGCGAGUUGAUCAAUCUGUAACUACUAAAUCACCUGUUUCCUAAAAGCAUAGUCGACCCUGAAUCCCCCAUGCAAGAGCAGUGUCGAGUGGUUCUGAGUGGCGGAUUUCCUCUUUGCGUGGGAUGAUCUAGACUCCGGAAGAGUCAGGGACUCGAUAUAUUAUUACCGCAAGAGUUAAGCGAGCUGCAACGCUAUUGCAGGACCUAUACCAACGCGCAUGCUAUUAAUACUCGUAUAACUAUCCGGAUGAUUAUAUAAUGUGGAUCAAUUUGCGCUACAGCGAUUCGCUUGUUCUUUUGUCAACAUCGGUAUUGGGUAUAACGUGGUUCGCAUUCGCUGCGAUGGCAAAUAUGAAGAAUUUCGAGUCAUUGAGAGUGAAGUUCGUAAAGUUAACGUAACGAUUCAUUUUUGGGAAAGAUCAUUAUUUCGCAAACGGACGAUUCUCUCAAUUGAUUGACUCGUCUAUUUUUAAAACGAAAAAUUUAUUCAGAUUUUGAAAAUUAAACUUCUUUAAAGUUGUUCUAAAGUUUUAUAACGGUGAUUAUUAGUUUCAAUAUUUCGUUAACUUCGAUCUAAUGAGAAAUUUGCAAUUGUGGGAUCUUUGGGAUCCUCGAAUGUUUUCAGGAUUUUUUUUUUUUUGAUCGAACAGUUGAUAAUUUGUUGUUGGUGGAACA
rnacentral:lncRNA from 1 species